rnacentral:rRNA from 1 species
AUUGAACGCUGGCGGCAGGCUUAACACAUGCAAGUCGAACGAUGAUUAUCUAGCUUGCUAGAUAUGAUUAGUGGCGGACGGGUGAGUAACAUUUAGGAAUCUGCCUAGUAGUGGGGGAUAGCUCGGGGAAACUCGAAUUAAUACCGCAUACGACCUACGGGUGAAAGGGGGCGCAAGCUCUUGCUAUUAGAUGAGCCUAAAUCAGAUUAGCUAGUAGGUGGGGUAAAGGCCCACCAAGGCGACGAUCUGUAACUGGUCUGAGAGGAUGAUCAGUCACACCGGAACUGAGACACGGUCCGGACUCCUACGGGAGGCAGCAGUGGGGAAUAUUGGACAAUGGGGGCAACCCUGAUCCAGCCAUGCCGCGUAUGUGAAGAAGGCCUUUUGGUUGUAAAGCACUUUAAGCAGGGAGGAGAGGCUAAUGGUUAAUACCCAUUAGAUUAGACGUUACCUGCAGAAUAAGCACCGGCUAACUCUGUGCCAGCAGCCGCCGUAACAC